rnacentral:sRNA from 1 species
AGCAGCCGCGGUAAUUCCAGCUCCAAUAGCGUAUAUUAAAGUUGUUGUGGUUAAAAAGCUCGUAGUUGAACCUUGGGCCUGGCCGUCCGGUCCGCCUCACCGCGUGUACUGGCUCGGCCGGGCCUUUCCCUCUGUGGAACCCCAUGCCCUUCACUGGGCGUGGCGGGGAAACAGGACUUUUACUGUGAAAAAUUAGAGUGCUCCAGGCAGGCCUAUGCUCGAAUACAUUAGCAUGGAAUAAUAGAAUAGGACGUGUGGUUCUAUUUUGUUGGUUUCUAGGACCGCCGUAAUGAUUAAUAGGGACAGUCGGGGGCAUCAGUAUUCAAUUGUCAGAGGUGAAAUUCUUGGAUUUAUUGAAGACUAACUACUGCGAAAGCAUUUGCCAAGGAUGUUUUCAUUAAUCAGGAACGAAAGUUAGGGGAUCGAAGACGAUCAGAUACCGUCGUAGUCUUAACCAUAAACUAUGCCGACUAGGGAUCGGACGGUGUUAUCUUUUGACCCGUUC